AGCUCCAGUAGCGUAUAUUUACGUUGCUGCGUUUAAAAAGCUCGUCGUUGAAUACGUGACACGGGAGAGCGGUCGGCCGGAAACGGUCGCCACUGCUCAGACCGAGCCAGGCUGUCGGUGCCGUCGCGGCUUGCACUUCAUCGUGUGGCCGUGGCGCUCCGGCGUGUUCACCUUGAACAAACUGAUCCGCUCAGAGGAAGCGAUUAGCCUGAACAACUCAGCAUGGUAUGAUGGAACAGGGGCUCGUACUUAUUUUGUUGGUUUUGAAGUACGCGAGCCAAUGGUUAAGAGGGACUGCCGGGGGCAUUCGUACUACAGGGGGAGAGGUGAAAUUCAAAGAUCCUUGUAAGACGACCUACUGCGAAAGCAUUUGCCAAGAAUGUUUUCAUUA
rnacentral:rRNA from 1 species